AAGGAUCAUUAUCGAAUAAACUUGAGCAGGCUGUUGCUGGUCCCCCAAGGACAUGUGCACGCUUGUCAUCUUUAUCAUUUCUCCAACUGUGCACAUAUUGUAGACCCUGGAGGUUUUGCUUUUCGUCUUUGGAUGAGUUUUGGGACUGCUGUGCCUCAAAAUCGAGGUCGGCUUUCCCUUUGCAUCCUCCAGGUCUAUGUUGACAACCUCUCGAACGUGUUUAGAAUGUUGAAUAAAAUAUAAAGUUAUACAACUUUCAGCAACGGAUCUCUUGGCUCUC
rnacentral:misc_RNA from 1 species